rnacentral:rRNA from 1 species
UACGUAGGUGGCAAGCGUUGUCCGGAUUUACUGGGCGUAAAGGCUCGUAGGCGGCCAACUAAGUCAGACGUGAAAUCCCUCGGCUUAACCGGGGAACUGCGUCUGAUACUGGAUGGCUUGAGUUGGGAGAGGAAUGCGGAAUUCCAGGUGUAGCGGUGAAAUGCGUAGAUAUCUGAAGGAACACCGGUGGCGAAGGCGGCAUUCUGGACCAAUACUGACGCUGAGGAGCGAAAGCCAGGGAGCAAGCGG